AAGCGUGUAAGGACAGGUGCGACCUAAAUGAGUUUCAAGAGAGAACGCUGGAUGGAUGGGGGAGCUUGGCAGUGAGACGCACUCACCAUCAGAGACCUUCAGGCAUCAAUCAUUCCUGCUGAGCCUGUCAGGAAAACGUUCGGCCCGUGGCCAGCAGGCAGGUGCUGAACCCGCCAAAGGAGGAUGAGAGUUAAUGCUGGCCAACCUGUUGUCAUCCUCCCACAAUUACCAGCACAACUGGCUUUAAGCUUGACUUUGGUUCAGCGACAGACCCCGCCUCUCACCCAUAGCCUGCAGGAGGAUUGAGGAUUCCCCAUGUGAGAUGUGAAAAUAGGCACCUUUAAAGGAAGAGAUCAAAAAUCCAAUUUGAAAUUUCUUUUUUCUGCUUGAAGAGAAAAGAUGG